rnacentral:rRNA from 1 species
GGCGGCAGGCCUAACACAUGCAAGUCGAGCGCGAAAGAUCUUCGGAUUGAGUAGAGCGGCGGACGGGUGAGUAACGCGUAGGAAUCUACCUGGUAGUGGGGGACAACUCGGGGAAACUCGAGCUAAUACCGCAUACGCCCUGAGGGGGAAAGCGGGGGAUCUUCGGACCUCGCGCUAUCGGAUGAGCCUGCGUUGGAUUAGCUAGUUGGUGGGGUAAGAGCCUACCAAGGCUGCGAUCCAUAGCUGGUCUGAGAGGAUGAUCAGCCACACCGGGACUGAGACACGGCCCGGACUCCUACGGGAGGCAGCAGUGGGGAAUAUUGCGCAAUGGGCGGAAGCCUGACGCAGCCAUGCCGCGUGUGUGAAGAAGGCCUUCGGGUUGUAAAGCACUUUCACUAGGGAAGAAACGCUGUCGGUUAAUACCCGCCAGUUUUGACAUUACCUUGAGAAGAAGCACCGGCUAACUCCGUGCCAGCAGCCGCGGUAAUACGGAGGGUGCGAGCGUUAAUCGGAAUUACUGGGCGCAAAGCGCGCGUAGGCGGUUUGUUAAGUCGGAUGUGAAAGCCCCGGGCUCAACCUGGGAAUUGCACCCGAUACUGGCCGACUGGAGUGCGAGAGAGGGAGGUAGAAUUCCACGUGUAGCGGUGAAAUGCGUAGAUAUGUGGAGGAAUACCGGUGGCGAAGGCGGCCUCCUGGCUCGACACUGACGCUGAGGUGCGAAAGCGUGGGGAGCAAACAGGACUAGAUACCCUGGUAGUCCACGCCGUAAACGAUGUCGACUAGCCGUUGGGGAACCUUGAGUCCUUGGUGGCGCAGUUAACGCGAUAAGUCGACCGCCUGGGGAGUACGGCCGCAAGGUUAAAACUCAAAUGAAUUGACGGGGGCCCGCACAAAGCGGUGGAGCAUGUGGUUUAAU